GAACGUGAACGGGGGCAACCCCUAGUAAAGUGGCGUACGGGUGAGUAACACGUAGGCAAUCUACCCCAAAGUCUGGAAUAACCUGCCGAAAGGCGGGCUAAUACUGGAUAGAGCGACGGAAUCCGUAAUUGGGUUUUUCGGGAAAGGGAGGGAGCAAUCCCCCUUGCUUUGGGAUGGGCCUGCGUCCCAUCAGCUAGUUGGUAAGGUAAUGGCUUACCAAGGCUAUGACGGGUAGCUGGUCUGAGAGGAUGAUCAGCCACACUGGAACUGAAACACGGUCCAGACUCCUACGGGAGGCAGCAGUGGGGAAUCUUGCGCAAUGGACGAAAGUCUGACGCAGCCACGCCGCGUGAGUGAAGAAGGCCUUCGGGUUGUAAAGCUCUGUCGGAGGGGACGAAAAGCAUUAGGGUUAACAGCCUUAGUGCCUGACGGUACCCUUAAAGGAAGCACCGGCUAACUCUGUG
rnacentral:rRNA from 1 species